rnacentral:lncRNA from 1 species
AGAGGGCGAGUGUUGAGUUAAACAGUAUUUUAAAAACCAAACAUUCUGGAGUUGGUGAGAUGGCUGAAUGGGCCCAAGCCUGGUUACAUGCGUCCACAUCCACAGAGCCCACGUAAAGGUUGGAGACAAGAACAAGCAUAACAAAAUUGUUCUACAAAGGCCCUCUCAUCUUCUCACGAGUGUAUAUACAGUAUGUGUAUACAUUUAAAAUCAAUUCAAGGAUGAUACCAAUUAGUUCAUGCUAAAGGAUGACAAUGGAAAAUAUUAUGGGUAAAUAUAACUUUUAUUUGUCUGAAUUGUCAUCUUGGAGGCUUAAUGCCUCAGUUUGCUAACCUAGUGUAAGGAACAUGUGGACCCAGGUGGCAAAGCUACCAGCCACACCCCAGCUUCUGAGGCUGGCAGGCACUGGCCUACCCUCAGCCCCAAGGUAACCAUGGAAACCAAGCCAUAGCGAGUGUGUGCGGGAGGAUAAGGAUAGCUGGAGAAGUAAUGUGUGAAACACCUUACUUAGGAUUGGCUGAAUUUAGCUUUUUAAAACUCCAGUCUGGCACGGCAACUCGCUCACCCCCAGGACCCAGGGGAGAUGUGUAGACAAAUCCAUGAGGAUGCUCGCCCAAAGGAGACAAGCCUACAUCGUGUGGUUCAGCUCCAGCAGAAUCCAAAAGGCAGCAGGAGAGUCACGGCUUACUAGUGCCAUCCCAUUUCACCAUUUACUUGUUUGUUGCUACUUAGGAAUAAAUAAGCUGUUUAACCUUUCCUCUGAGUUCGGGGAUUUCCUUUCUGCCUCUGUCUUUAACCCCAAUUCACGAUAGUUUUGUGACACCUAGGCCUAAUCCUGGAAGCUUCUAACCUCUGUACGGACUUAUCUAGGCCUAGAAUGUUUUC